GGACGAGUCUACUGGUGUUUGUCUAAAUUUCUACCACAAUGUCAAAGCAUUAACCCUUUCACACUUAAGUUUAAAAUAUUCCAACUGGGCCUUGGCGUGAAGUUUUUAAAAUGUAUUUAUUAUUAUUAUUAUUAUUUUUUAAUAUGACCUUUAUUUUUGAACUAUUGCAUUCAGUAGCCUGGUUUAGUAACCAGCACUUUACAGUAAAUUUAAAUACACAGCUGCCCAUAGUACUUCAUUACUUCCUGUUUUUUCUUUCUUCCAGCAACCUCACAUCUCUCUCUAUCAGACAUGCAAACCCACACUCUCACAAUAGAUACUUACUCUUGGGUUUUUUGAUUAACACAUGCCUUCCUGCACUGCUUGUGAAGACAGCCUGAGCCUCUUUUGAUCUUUUUCUAGAACAGCUUUUAAUAUACAGCUGCAGGAAAUAUUGCUGCCCAUUUUUCCUUCCUACCAAAAGCUUUUGUCUUUGCUAUUCGCAAUACUCAAAAGGAAAUAACCUAAUUUGACUUCCUUAUACACUAUACCACAUUGACUUCUGAGCUGCUCUUGUAAACUGAACUUGGUCUCGUAUUUGCUAAACUGAACUUGGUCUUGUAAUUGUUAAACUGAACUUGGUCUCGUAUUUGCUAAACUGAACUUGGUCUUGUAAUUGCUAAACUGACUUUCUCAUGCUGAUUUCUCCUUGUGAUAUUUUUCUCCCAUUCAGACAGAAAAGAGGAAGUUGGAGAUGGGCUUGAAUCAACUCAAAACAUUUCUUUAUUUUCCCUUUUCCGCUGUUCAGCAUUUUCACACACAUACACACACAGACGUGCUUAUACUGAUCAAGAUGCAAGAUGGUGCCAGUGUAUCUGUCAGCAUGCUGUCGUUCUUGUCUUUCCCGUGUAUUACAGUUUGUUGUAUCUGUUGUCUGUUCAUCUGGCAUCUGUGCUGUUUUUACUUUUCGUCGUGCCACACUGGUAUCGUAUAGACUCAGUGUUGACCUAUGAUCGUCAAGCUUUGCUCAACAUCAAAAGCUGUAUGGUAGCUCAUCUGGGAUUUGGUCCUGCUCUGCAUUCUCAUUGUCAAUCCUCAUCUUGCCAACCCGCAUCGGAGUGCGCUCGCUGGCUACCUUGCUGUGUUCCUCCUCUAAGGAAAGUGCCACAGGAAGAGAGGGAAUCAUGGUGGUGUUUGGAUUUCCUACACUCAUCUAAUUGCUCUGUUCCUCCACGAUUACGGAUUCGUCAUAGAGGAGUAGACUGUUUAAAUCUCUGCCAACUGGAAUGCGUUCAACCGGAUCUGGCCUCGUUACCUCAGUCUCCUCUGAAUAUGACCCUAGUUAAUGCUAGGUCUGUGUGCAACAAAAUGUUUAUUUGAUAUGACUUUUAUAGCAUGAGUUAUAGCAUGGGAGCAGCAGUGAGACAUCAAGAACCAUCCCUGAACAAAGGGCUACGUGACUGUAUUUAGCAUUCAGAAAGACAUCUGUCUCGCAAGCUCUACCACCUCAACAUUUGGGGUUACACCUGUAACAACAUCUGUACUGUGAGAACGGAAAGCGAUCACAUCAAAUGCUAUCCUUAAUUUACGUUGAGAAUGAAACUUCAUUUACAUUACAAACAGAAAACCUGGUUUGAAACACAGUAUAAAAUGUCUGUGCUGAUACUGUUCGGAGUUCACUUUGACGCCGACGAACCCAAAGUGCUUCAUGUACUUUGUCCCUUCCAUGCUGUAAUAAAGUUCUUUUUCUUUGAGAUCUUCGACAUCCUCUUCAUUUCUUCGGACAGUGGUGUUUUUUUUUCAGCAGUUAGUCUUUAUUUACAAAUGUCCUAGAAAGAUUUGCACU
ensembl:lncRNA